GUGGAGGAGUUACACAUACUGGUUUAACAUGCGAGCAGCCAUCUUAUGAGGUAAGUCUCACUUUCCUGUGCUUCCUCUUACCCAAACUCCCCCCACUCCCCACCCCCGCCCCCAUUAGUGACCUACCCCAUGGUACCAUAACCCCGAGCCCAUCCCAGAAGGACAGGGCCCCUUUGCUCUGGAAAGCCCCAUGGUGCCACGGACCUGAGCCAACCCCAGGCCAUCCCCCACCCGCCUGGCUCUGAGGCAAGCACCCCCGGCCCAGCCCACAGCGUCACAGCCCCAGCUCCAAACCCCUGCCCCCAAAAGAGGAGCACCCCAACAUCUCGGGGCUCUCCUCUCUGUAGUGAGAUGGCCUUCAUUGGUCAGCUUGGACACAUAAGCUCUGGGGUGGGCCUCGGCCUGCUCUCUGUCCUUCAUCUCCCACUCGCCCGCCUCUGGGUUCCUCAGUGUCCUUGCAGGAGUGCUUCGGCCCCACCCCACUCUUCCCCAGGCGGGUACUGACCACCCAGCUGGGGUCCUUGGUCUCAGCUGCCCACUGACCCCGCCUAACCACUAGCUCCACCGGGGACCCCUGGUCUGCCUUGUCCUCGCCCAGGGCCCCCAGCUGGCAGGGGGCUGCUCCUGGGAGCUGCUUGUUGAGCAGAUGAAGGAGCAAUGGGAUCAGGUGCCAGCACGGUCCCCGGCCUCCACAGCCCGCCGUCUCUGGGUGGAUGUGACUGCUGCAGCGUUUUCUUCCCCUGCCCUCCCGAGCCUCCUCUCUGUGCAGGAGGCCCCCUUGGUUUUGCUAAAGACCGAGCACAAGACCUCCAGCCCAAGGCUCCUUCCCCACGGGGACAUAUCCAGCCCCCCCUGGCCGGGGGACACCAGUUCUUGACUGUUCCUUGGGUUUUAUCCUAAAGGACUCUUCUGUUCUGGUUAGAACAUUCUGUUGGUCCCAGCUCCCGUGCCGAGGCAACCCCAAAGGACCAGCUAGGACCUGAAACAGAGGUCCCCACCUCCUCCACAAGGUAAGGUCACCCAUCAGGUCCUCGCCAUUGUGGCUGCCUCAUUCUGCAGGCACCGACCGACAUACCCACACUCAGGACACACCUGCUUCAGGUGGGCUGGGGGUCCAGCGUCACUCCUGCCCCUCACCCCAUAGCAGAAGGAUGAACCUCACCGCCUUGGAGCCGGAAUCCCUGAGUCCACAUCCCAGCUGCUAUUUCAUGGCUGAGUGACUUUGGAGGUUAUUUUACUGCCCUGAGCCUCAGUUCACCCAUCUAUAAAAUGAGCUGUUAGUAGCAUUUACCUGAUGGGUCUCUCUCCAUUGACGAGGGGCCCCGAGGGAGGGAGAAGGUGUGUCCCCGACCAGGGGCACCUGCUCAACCCUAGAACCCCAGCCUCACACUCUCACCUCGGGAUGAACAUCAGCUGGGUUGUGUCGUUGUUGUUCCCUAAUUUUGUCUUUCAAUCACCUUUUUUUAUUUUUUCAUUUUUAGGUUUUCUCAUCUAUUUUACUCUGGUCUUAUCUGACAUUCCUGCUCCUCAUACCCGUAUUACCAACCCUCCAUUCUUUUGUAUUUUAAAACAUUACUCUAUUGUCACUUUUUACAUUUUGAAUGGGAGCAGCUCUUUGAAUUGCUUUAAGUCGGUUCCUAUAUUCCUCUCCCAAAUAUUUUUAGUGUUUUAUGUCAUGGGUUCUAAUAUUUUAGUUUUUUGAUUUUAUUUUUAAGGCCACUAUUCCCACUCUUGGAUUCUCUUUAACUUUUUUCCGCUGCUUCCUCUCUCAGGACCCCACCCCCAUGCCUGGCCCUGGGCCGUGUCCUGGAAAUGCAGCAAAUGCUCCCGGAGACUGCGCAGAGCCAGGCCCAGAGUUGGCCCUGCAAAACCAAAGGGGGGGGGGGGUCAGGCUUAGGCUGUGCUCUGAAGGGGCCCCACAGUCCCAGGAAAAGACACACCUUUGUCCAUAACCCUUGGGGACAAUGAGAAGAGAGGAUGGACUUCCUGAGGCCACGCGGCAGCUCUAUGGGAAUUCCAAGGUGCUGAGGCCUGGGUGCUGAGGGUUCAAGGUCAUGUUCACAGCAGAAAAAUUCCAGCUAGACAUGAAGACCUCAGGCCAGGUGGGUGCUGGAAGCUGACAUCAGAGUUCAGGGUAGAGACUGGGGUCAGGAAGAGGAGCCUGGAGAGAAAGGGGAAGGAGGUGGCCACCAAGCCUAGAUGAUAAGACAUACAGGACAUUAGGAGAGUCCAGGCUGUCCUCCCUGGAGAAUGUGGACCGGUUGCACGGAUGCAUAGGUUCAUGUUCUCUGGGCAAGGAGCCCCCGCGUCCUCCACAGGAGUUCUUCCCAACAGCCACCUCCCCAUGGUCACAUCACCCGAUGCAUUGGCCCACCCCACCUCCCAUUUUAGUUUCUUCAGUUGAAAGAACACACACUAUUCUAGGAUGUGGAAAAGCACAGAGCUGACUUCUAUGUCCAGUGAUGCAGCAGUUUGGUUGUUUAGGUCGACCUCAUGGUUCCAACAACUAGAAAUGCUGAAUAGAAUGAGAAGCAUCUUCUGUAAAGUAUGGAAGGGCUACAUGGUAGUGAGGGGGUUCUAGACCAACAGGAAGGAGGAACCUGCGUGCUGCAGCUUUGUGCCCCAUGGGCAUCUGCCCGUCCAGCAAGCUUGACCUUCAGUUUGGACAUCAUUGGGAGCUUGGGGGGAAAGAAGAUAAAACCCAGUGCUCAGAAAAGACAGGGAAUCUAGAGGGCAUCUUCCCUCACAGAGACAGACCCCAAAGGGAAACCCACAGGUAAGUACGGAGCAGAAGGAAAACUAGCUCACCCCUCCUACAGCCAGGGACUGCAAGAAAAGAUGCCUUGUUCCAAUCAGAGCCCGAGGAAAAAGAGCCAUUCAUGAAAAGUAGAUUUACAGCCCAAGCCCACUGCCGCAGUCCGGCUGCAGCAAAAUAACCGGGGGGUGACGAACAACUUAUGUACAUUGAUACAGCAGGAGUAGGAGCCGUUUAUUGUAGGACAGGAGGGGUAUAUAUACAUUCCACACAGCUUAUCUUAAUUAACAUAAACUAGAUACAGCAGUCAACCAAUAAGGAAUCUCCACACUUAAUGGCUCGCUGGCGUUACUUCACAAACUACUCCUUCUGCAAAAUGCCAGGUGCCAUCUUGACUUGUUUACAGACUCUAACAGCCUACCCCCACCACAAUGGCCAGAAUAACAAUGACUAUUAAUUUAAUCUAAAGUUGUCUUGGGCCAGUAAUAUCUUUGAGGCAGUCAGAAGAAGCCAAUGCAGAUCAUUUCAUCCCAGACCUCAAAGAAUUACCAAAAAUAGUUACCUGAGAAAAAUGAACAUACAACUCAGACUAAAAAUAACCAAGUACACAAGGAAAUAAGGCUUCAGGUGUGAGAACCAGCAGAAGCAGAGCUGUAAGAUUUCAGAUACUGAAAAUUUCAGGUAUAGAAUAUAAAACAAUGACGUUUACUGUUUGAAAAGAGGAAAAGGGUAUGUUUUGAUUAAUGUUUUCAGGGGACAAGAAAGUGUUUUUUAAAAAAGAAACAGAUUCCACAAAGAAGAAUCUAUUACAUCUAAAAUGAAAAACAUAAUAACUAAAGAAAACACUCAAUGAAUGUGUACAAUAGAUUAGACAGAGCUGAAGAGAGAAUUAGUGAAUUAGAUGAAUGCAAAGAGCAAAGAGCAAAGGAGAUGGGGGAUAAGAAAGAAAAGGUAAGAGGAAUGGACAAUACAAUGAAAAGAUUUCAUAUAUAUUAAGCUGGAAAGGAGAAAAAAAUGAGAGAACAAGGCAAAAGCAAUAAUUCAGGAAAUAAGGCCAACAAUUUCCAGACCUGAAGAAAGCUAUCAAGCCACAAUUCUAAGAAGAUCAAAGAAUCCGAUAAAGGUUAAAUAAAUGGAAUUCACAUGGAGAUUCAUCAGAAUGAAACUAUAAAACACCAAAGACAAGACUUUAAAGCUGCCAUACAAAGGGCAAAACUAGAUGACAAUGUAUGCAAAAGAAAAAAAGAUGGAUUAGCAGCUGGCUUUCCACAGCAAAAGUGGGUGCCAAAACAUAACUGGAAGAAUAGGCAUGUGUUGAGGAAAAAUAGAUGCCAACCUAGAAUCCUGUAGCCAGUGAAAAUAUCCUUCGAAAAUGGAGUGAAAUUAAGACUUUUCAGAUAUAAGAAGGAAAAACAUCACUACCAGAAGAGUCUCACUAAGGCAAUGCCAAAGGUUGUUACUAAAGGAAGAAGAAAAGUGAUCCAUGAAGAUCUGAGGUCUAAGUAAAAAGAACACCCAGAUGGGGAACUGCACGGAGAAGAAGAAGAAAACAUUACCUGCUGUAAGCUGUGCUGAUGAGGGUAUGUGGGGUUGAAGGAAAGACAGAACCUAAAAUAGGAACACACCAACACCUAAGUAAGGGGUUAAAUGGUUUUAAAGUGUCUUAGUUCUCUCACAUGGUCCAGGAGAGUAAAGGUGUUGAUUAAUAUUAGCCACUGAUUGAUUUUGAAUCCACAUGUGAUUUCUAGAUUAACUCUUAUAAGGUUAGAAACAGGGCUGGGGACAUAGGUGAGUGGCACACGGCCUGCUGAACAUGUGCAAGCCCUGGGGGUGAGUCCCAGAAUGUGCACACGCACAUGCACACACACACACACACACAGGACAGAAACAGAAUAUAUCUUUCCAACUAAUUGAAGGAGUAAUUUUGAAUGGUCAAAAAUAUUCCAUUAAUCAAAAGGGGGAAAAAGGACAAGAAAUUAAAAGAACCCCAGAAGAUGUGGGGCAUAUAGAAAGCACAAAAUAAUGUAGUAGAAAUAAAUAUAAUAAAUAUACCAGAAAUUACAUUAAAUAUAAGUAGAAUAAGUGCUCUGGUUAAAAAACUUGAGAUUAUUAGAUUGGAUUUUAGAAUACUAGAAAUAUAUUUAAAGCAUACGAUAUAUUCAAAAUGGAUGGGAAAACCAUGUUAUCCCAACAAUUAAUGAAAGAAAGCUGAUAUCACUGUAUUAAUAUUAAACUAAUCUAAGGCAAAAAAGAAUUGUUUGAGGAAAAGAAGGUCGCUGCCGGAGUUUGGCUGCAGCAAAAUAACCUGGGGGGUGAGGAACAACUUGUGUACGUUGAUACAGCAGGAGUGGAAGCCAUUUAUUGCAGGACAGGAGCAGUAUUUAUACAUUCCACACAGCUUAUCUAAUUAGCAUAAACUAGAUACAUCAGUCAACCAAUAAGAAAUCUCCACACUUAAUGGCUUGCUGGUGUUACUUCACAAACCACUCCCUCUGGCAUUUUGCCAGGCGCCAUCCAGACUUGUUUACAGACUCUAACAGGUCGCUAGCUAGGCUGGGUGUGUAGCCCAGUGGUAGAGGCCUGGCCUAGCAGGUGUGAGGCCCUGGGCUCCAUCCCCAGCCAAACAACAACAAAAAGGGUCUAUUUCACAAUAAUAAAAAUGAAAUAGAGCAACAUUCAAAACCAUAAAUGAAAUGCACACACAAAAUUAUGAGCAAAAAAAGCAAGAUACCAAAGAAAUAUUGCAACGUGAUUCCAUUUACACCAUGUUCAAAAAAAUAGAAAAAGCUGAACUGUAAUGUUUAGUGAUUCACAAUAAGAGGUACACUUAGGAACAAAGGCAAGAAAAUAAUAGCCUAGGAGUCAGGGUAGCAGUUGCAUUCGAGGGAAAGGAACGGCAAUCAGCAAGAGGCACUCAGGUCAGGGUGCUGCUAAAGUUCUGGGUCUAGUGACCUGGGCGCAGAUUUCUCAGGUGCUUGUUUUGUAAGUAUGUUUUAUUCCGGGUAUAAGCAUCCUUCAGUAUCCAUGGAAGUCUGUCCCAGGACCCACGUGGAUAUCAAAAUCCACAGAUAUUCAAGCCCCUCAUAUAAAAUGGUACUGUAUUUGCAUAGAAUCUUACACAGCCUCCUGUAUACCUUAAAUCAUGUAUAGAUUACUUGUAAUACAAUAUAUGUGCUCUAUCAAUACUUGUAACACUGAAUUGUUUAGGGCAUAAUGAAAGAGAAAAAAGUCUAUAGAUGUUCAGUGCAGAUACAUUUUCUUUCCAAUUACUUUCUAUCUGCAAUUGGUUGAAUCUGUGGAUGUGGAACUUAUAGACAUGGAUGUCCAAUUGUAUUUACAUAAUUAAUUCUGCAAUUAAUUAGGCAAAAAAGAAUUGUUCGAGGAAAAGAAGGUCGCUAGCUAGACUGGGUGUGUAAAAAGGGGACCAGGCACUGUGGCCCACGCCUGUGAUCUCAGUGGCUCGGGAGGAUGAUCAGGAGGAUUGAGAGUUCAAAGGCAGCCUCAGCAACUUAGUGAGACCCUAAGCAACUUAGCAAGACCCUGUCUCUCAAUUAACAUAUAUUUUUAAAAAAUGACUAAGGAUGUUGCUCAGUGGUUAAGCACCCCUGGGUUUAAGCCCCAGUACAAAAAAAAGGCAUUCUGAGAUCUACACCUGUUUCAUAUUGUGAAAUCCCUUCCAUAGAUGGAAACUAAUUCCUCUCCUUGAAUGUGAACUAGUCUUGGUGACUUUUUUCUUACAAACGGAGUAGAGGUGAUGAUCUGAGACCUGGGAGAUUAGUCCAUGCUAUAAUUUGGAUCUUAAAUGUACCUGGAGGCCCAUGUGCUGAAGGCUUGGUCCUCAGCCUGUGGAGGAACCUUAAGGAGGUGGGGCUUAGUGGAAUGCAGUUAGGUCCCUGGGGACAUGCCCUUGAAGGGAAUAUUAAGACCCUGGCUCCUUCCUGUUUCUGUCUUCACUACCUGAAUGAUAUGAGGUGGGCAGCUUUCUCCACCACAUGUUCUCGCCAUUAUUUACUGCCUUGCCACAGGCUUAAAAGCAACAUGGUCAAUUGACCAUGGACUGAAACCUCCAAAACUGUGAGCCAAAACUAGACCCUGAACUAGAACUGUGCAGCUAAGCUCCUCACACAUUCUUACCCCUCAGAAACAGUGAGUUAAUGAGUGUUUGCUUUUAUAAGCUGCUGAGUUUGGGAUAAUUUGUUACCUUUUCACUUUUUGAGUUGAUUAUCUCAGGUAUUUUGUUCCAGUAACAGAAAGCUGACUAACAAAGUCCAUAAAAGGCUCUAUGACUUCCUUAUUCUUUUUUCUUGCAUUUCUUCCUCUGGGAGAAACCAUGUCAUUGAGGACACUUUACCAGCUUAUGAGGAGGCUCACAGGGUGAGGGACUGUAACUUCUAGGCAAUAGCUAAAGGAGUGGGCCCCCCUGGAAGCAGAUCCUCUACCCCUAGGCAAGACUUAGAUGCCUGCAGCUCCUGCCAAUAUCUUGAUUGCAGCAGUAUGAGAAACCCUUAAUUACAGCCUUCCAGCUAAGCUGUUCCCAAAUUCUUAUCCCACAGAAACUGUGAGUUAAUAAGUGUUUGUUGUUGAAAGCUUUUGAGAUUUGGGAUAAUUUGUUACACAGCAAGAGAUAACUAAUACGUAUCACUAACUUGCUGUGUGGCCAAAUUGCAUUUUCUCUCUGCGCCUCAGUUUUCUUACCAACAUAUAGGAGAAGUUAGACUGGAUUGUAAAUGGCAAACGAUGGCAAUCCAGAAGUGCAGUGAAGAUUCUGAGCUGCACCUGAGAUCAGGGAGACAAAGGCAGUGAUUGAUUGAUUGAUUGAUUGAUUGUGUGUGUGUGUGUGUGUGUGUGUGAGUGAGAGAGAGAGAGAGAGAGAGAGAGAGAGAGAGAGAGAGAGAGAGAGAGAGAGAGUGUGGUGGGGAGCAGGAGCAUGGCAGCUUGCUUUCCAUGUGUAUUUGGCUCCAGAAAAAAGGAUCCCUAAAUCUAGAGAAGGGAAAUCAUCUUGAUUUCUCCCUUUUACUAAAUAGAACUUUUUGGGAAGUCCAAGCUUAGUAGCUUAGCAGUGCCAGAAGCAGGGCUCUCCUCCUAACUGGCUCUUCCCAGCCCUCAUGUUUGAAAUCGAUUAAGGAGCAUCAGCCAAGGCCCUGGGUCCAAAUCUUGUCUGUCACUUACCAGUUGUGUGACCUCCAGCAACUUCCUUCAACUCUUUAACCCUCAGCUUCAAGUGGAGAUUUCUCCAUCCAUGGAUGAAUCAUCUCAGCUUGCAGCCAAUCAGUGCAGCAGGAGGCUUGACUCACAUACCAGCAACAGCCCAGAGUCCCCGCCAUCAGGAACUUUCUGUCUAUUUGAGAGGAGGAGUCUUGGUCACAUGACACUAUUGGAGAACAUUUCACGCCAGUGCAAGCACAGUGCCUAAUGACUUGGAGCCAGGAUUUGCACAAGGUCCACAAGCAUUGGCACCACCUGGGAACUUGUUAGGAUGCACAUGCUCAGGCCCUGCCCCAGCUUGGAAUCAAGCCAUCUGGGUGCUGUGAUAAACCUCUCUGGGACUCCAAUGGGUGCCCAAGACUGAGGAGCACUGCUCUAGAAUUCGACCCACAGAGGGACGGGGAGAAGUCUGCUAGAGGAGGAUAAAUUUGAAUCCUAAAGAAUGACUGGAAUUUAGAUAGAAGAAAGGACAGAAGUGAUUUCCGGGAGCCACAGCAAGCGGGUGGGACAAACCAGCAAGUGGGGUAAAGAAACCCAGGGCAGGGCUGGGGAAGAGCGGGAACUGUCAAGUGGGGAGCUUGGCCUCCGUGGAGCAGGCCACCGGGAGUCAUUGCAGGUGCCUGAGCAGGAGAGUGGCAAUAUCUGCUUCCUCUUUUAGACUUGCCAGCCAGAGAUUUUCCCCAGGUCUUACCGUGCUCCUAAGAUGAAUGCCUCCACUUACUCUCAUCCUCCAGAGCUGAGGAGACCCCUGCCACAACUCAGGAGGCUCUGGGAUGGCAAGUGUGGAGGAGGGGGUGCAGGGAGACAGAGCAGUGGCCGGGGCCAGGGCCCCCUCCCAGAGGCCUCAGGAGCACCAGCUCAGCACGGGCCUGUAGCAACCACGCACUGUGCACAGGUAUUGAAUUAUGAAUGGAUAUUGCCCAGAAAUAAUUGCAAACAUUAUUGCCCCCCACACGGGUGUCCUCUGCGGGGCCGCAGCAAUAGAUUUUGUUGCUUUAACGCUGCGGGGUCAUUAUAAAUUAGGGCUAUCACGUUAACAGCAGGCCAGCAGACGUGAGGAGAGGGAAUCCCGUUUGAAAGCUCCGAGAGGAAGAGACCCCUCAACUGCACACGUUGGUUACCCUCAACUUUUCCUUUGGUUUGAUCUAUUCCACCCGUCCCUAUUAAAUAACUAAUUAUUUAACAUCUUUUAAAGCUUUGUUAUAUAUUAGAACAGGCAGGACACAAAUGAGUGCUUUUAAUAAUAUAAAAGCCCAUUAGCUUCAUUUACUGUUAAUGUUAAAAUAAAC
rnacentral:lncRNA from 1 species